AUUCCAUGGUCCAAAAUGAUUUCAACGGGGAAGAUGCUACUGGAGAGCAUGUUACAAACUUGUUGCAUGUGACGAAAUCGUUAUCUGCUUUGGGUGAUGUCUUGUCUUCGUUGACCUCGAAGAAGGAGAUGAUACCUUAUGAGAACUCUAGACUCACAAGACUACUCGAAGAUUCAAUAGGAGGAAGCUCAAAAACAUUGUUGAUCGUAAAUGUCUGUCCCAAUGCUUCUAGUCUGCCCAAGACACUGUCAGCUCUUACUUUCUCUGCAAGAGCUCGGAGUGCAGAGCUAAGUCUUGGGAAUCGAGAUACCAUUAAGAAAUGUAGAGAUGUUGUAAGUUUGUGUUAAAUAUUCUAACAGUGUAUUAUUCUUUUCAAUGGAGUACAGAAGGCCUGGAAAGUUUCCUUUACAUUGCAGGCAAAUCUAAAGUUAGAAAAUCUGAUGUUGUCUGAAAAGCAUAAGAUUGAGAAGGAUCGAAGCACACAACUCAGAAAUCAAGUUGCCCAUAUUUUGCAACUGGAGCAAGACCAGAAAAUUCAGAUACAAAAACGCGAUUCGAAAAU